CUGGAUUAUCAAGAGUUUGUAGUUGACAUUGAAUCCAGGUUGAGGAUGGAAGGUGUGGAACUUAAAGAAGAAUGGCAAGAUGAAGAUUUUCCCAUACCUUUACCAGAAGAUGACAGUAUUGAAGCAGAUAUACUAGCUAUAACUGGACCAGAGGACCAGCCUGGCUCACUAGAAGUUAAUGGAAAUAAAGUGAGAAAGAAACUAAUGGCUCCAGACAUUAGCCUGACACUGGAUCCUAGUGAUGGCUCUGUAUUGUCAGAUGAUUUGGAUGAAAGUGGGGAGAUUGACUUAGAUGGCUUAGAUACACCGUCAGAGAAUAGUAAUGAGUUUGAGUGGGAAGUCAUUUCCUGGAAGGAUAUUUUCCGUUAACAGCUUUGUCUUGGAAACAACUAACAUGCAGUAGGUUUCCCCCUCCCCCCAUCUUUUGGUAAGGACUAUAAUACUGAAAUUUUGAAAAUUAUUACUACAUUAAAAAUCAGCUAAACUGCAAUCUCAAAACAUAAAUUACAUUUAAUCAUUGGUGCUUAUGCUUUGGCUAAUGCUAAUUUAAAUAGACUUCUGCAUGUAUACUUCAAAAUAUUAUAAAUACAUUUCUGCUUUAUA
rnacentral:sRNA from 1 species